UACGUAGGGGGCAAGCGUUGUCCGGAUUUAUUGGGCGUAAAGAGCUCGUAGGCGGCCGGUUGCGUCUGCUGUGAAAUCCCGGGGCUUAACCCCGGGCGUGCAGUGGAUACGGGCUGGCUGGAGGCAGGCAGGGGAUAAUGGAAUUCCCGGUGUAGCGGUGAAAUGCGCAGAUAUCGGGAGGAACACCGGUGGCGAAGGCGGUUCUCUGGGCCUGUGCUGACGCUGAGGAGCGAAAGCGUGGGGAGCAAACAGG
rnacentral:rRNA from 1 species